rnacentral:rRNA from 1 species
CCCCGCAAGGGACUGACUUAGUGGCGAACGGGUGAGUAACGCGUGAGCAACCUGCCUUUCAGUGGGGGACAACAGUUGGAAACGACUGCUAAUACCGCAUGAUGCAUUUUGACCGCAUGAUCGAGAUGCCAAAGAUUUAUUGCUGAAAGAUGGGCUCGCGUCUGAUUAGAUAGUUGGUGAGGUAACGGCCCACCAAGGCUGCGAUCAGUAGCCGGACUGAGAGGUUAACCCCCACAUUGGUACUGAGACACGGACCAAACUCC